AUGUCGAUCCUAGCAAUCCAAGCAAGGUCCCCGAGAGCAUCACGCACCGUUGAAUUCUUCCUUUUUGAGAUGAGGAAUAUGGCGGAAGCGAUAUCCUUCGGCUUCCACCCAUUGAGCCAAGGUGAGUGCCAAAACAUGGCCAUGCAGGUGAUGGGGGUGGCUGCAUAUAUGAAAUCCAUGCGAGUGUUAUUGCAAGACUUGCCCAAAUUAACCAAAGCUCUGGCAUAUUUUGAGGAUGUUGAGAACCCCCAAGCCAUCAAGUCUUUUUGGUCUGCGCCCAAAGAAAGGCCCUCUCGAUCUUCUCAAAACAGGGUACUAGGGUCGUCCUUGAAGGUCUCUUGA
rnacentral:rRNA from 1 species